UACGGAGGAUGCAAGCGUUAUCCGGAUUUACUGGGCGUAAAGCGCGUUCAGGCGGUUUGGCAAGUCGGGCAUGAAAUCUCUCGGCUCAACCGGGAGAGGUUGUCCGAUACUGCUGGACUUGAGGGCAGUAGAGGGUGGUGGAAUUCCGGGUGUAGUGGUGAAAUGCGUAGAUAUCCGGAGGAACACCAGUGGCGAAAGCGGCCACCUGGACUGCACCUGACGCUGACACGCGAAAGCUAGGGGAGCGAACGGG
rnacentral:rRNA from 1 species